rnacentral:lncRNA from 1 species
UGAAGAGGAAAGCAAAAAAUGAAAGUUCAUUGUCCUGUCCUAUACAUUAACUCCCAUAUAUUUUCAUGGUCAUGAAUGACAGUGAGAACAUAUGGUAAUUCUUUAUUCCCUCUAAAAUACCGGGGUCGUGUCCCACUAAAUGUUUGGGUGACAGUUCUCCCUGUCAAACAGUCAAUCAUAUUGUUGAAGAAAGCAAAUUAUCAAUCAAACAGAGGCUCUUCUUGGUGACAAACUCCUUAAAUAUGAAAUGCUCAAACCCCAGUAAAUACUGUUGUUGAAUUAAAGGAGCUGUGGGGCAGCAUAAUCAACACAAAGUUGACAAGUUGACUAGUUCCUAAAUUUUGCAAAAGAAAGCGGGAUAGAUUGCAGCAAAGCAUGUGAAGUGCCAGUUUGCACCUCUGUCAAAGAAGCUGAAUGACUGAAAUGUCACAUAUCUCAGGCAGAGAAAGAUGAGAAGAGAUAGCUAUGAAUCUAUGCUAUCAAAGAAAAAACAUAGCAAACAUUAUAAUGGGGACCUUUUCUAGAUGGAAAUAUGAAAUCAGGUUUGUUUGUUUCUGUUUUUUUUUUUUUUUUUUUUUAGAGAGAGAUCUGCUUCUGGAUUUUUGUUGGCCAGGACAAUUUGUCUGAAGUGCCUCUGCCCAUUUCUGCUGUGCUGGGCCAGAAGAACAUCCUGAGCCACAGACAAUGAAUCUGCUCCAGGAGACACUGAACUGCAGGCACAGCCUGAGGAGACCUAACCACAGCCAUGUCCCUGACUGCAGGUGCAGGCACUGGGCUCCUGACUGCAGGAUGUGUGCACUGGAGGAGGGAAGCCACGGCACCAUAACCAGAUUGACAAAUGGGACAGUGUUUAUUGAACCAAGAACUUCCUGGAGAGAUAAGCCUGAAGAUUUGGGAGCAAAGGAAUUUCAUGCUGUUGUUCAUUUCCAUGAGUUCUUGGCUACAAGUUACUUCUCAACAGCAAAGAAUUUGCUGAAAAAGACUACCCACUGA